rnacentral:lncRNA from 1 species
UUUUUUUUCCGGAGAAAAUUUAAAAUGAAGGAAAUUAAUGUUCUGGAAUAUGUAAAGUUUCUUUUUUGGAUGACAGAUUUAAAUAAAAUAAGAAUAUAAAAACAACUGUUUUUGUAUUACUGUCGUCGUUUUUCGUCGUCUUAAGUAAGACUAAGACGACGUAAUAUAUUUGUUGAGCGACGUUGAUUUGUUUUUUAAACGUCGUUAGGUAUAAUAUAACCGUCG